AUGAGUUUGAGCAAAUGAAGUCCAAAUGUCCACACAUGCUCAUCAAACAAGAGAAGGAAGGGACAAAAUUAUGCCACCAUUUCCUCAUCCAGGAGAAAGGAGUCACAAGUGCACCACAGGGAACAAACAUUUCAUCACUAAUUCUGCAAGGUUCCCUCAAGGCAAGUGUCAGGGGGAUCCAUCUGGACAAAUGUGUCUGAAGUUGAGAUUUGUGCCAAGCUAGCAGGAGAGCCAUGCUGAACAGUU
rnacentral:lncRNA from 1 species